CUAAAUUUAAGAUUAAGUCUGCCAUUCCUCAGUUUUCAAAUCAGUCUUUAAACAUUAAUCAUGUUGUUGAAAUUUUAAUUUCUGCUGCAGAAACAAACGAUUUAGACAAGGCCUUUAAAACCUAUGUGCCGAUCAGAUACCAAAGAUUUAAGCCAAAGUGGCCUUUUACUAAACUAAAAACUUUAAAGCCUGAAAAAAAAGAAGAUCAAGAUUUAAAAAAGGAUGCUUAUUCAAGUACUAUGGACAUGCCAUAACAUUCAUCCACUCAAAUCAACCUAAGGAAACUGUUUUUAAAGGCAUCUGUAUCGUUAUUGCAAAUCGACCAAAUUCAAGCUUUCUGACAUAUGUCAAUUUUCGCAUUCAUAUUCUAUAAACGCUUAUCUCUUGAGAAAGGUUCAUGACUAUGAAAAUACCUAAAUGUAUCAAUAGAAAGAUCGGCACAUGUAUUAUGCAUAUUGAGCAUGACGAACCACGUAGCCGAAUAGAUAAAUCCGCUCGAUUUCAAUGGUAUUUUUGAAAAUUUCUAACAAUUAUAUAACUUUGUCAAGCAAAUGUAUGAAGUUUACCAACAUCUCAAAUAUAAACCGAGGUG